AUCUGCGCGAGCAAGCGAUACAUUUACUAUCAGUGGAAACGAAACAAAAUUUCAAAAUAUGUUUGGCGAUAUUGCUAUUUUAAUAAUUCUCGUAUUUAUAAUGCUAAUACAUAUAUGCCUGACCUUCUGACUUCACUGACUGCCUAUGCAGGUGUUUUCUAAUUGCACAAUUCCCUUUUCAUUGCCUAUCUAGAUUUCCAUACGUACCCAAGGUGAAAGACUCAAGCUUAGGACUGCGUGGCAGCCGGUGUGACCAGAUGUGCAUGCUCUACGGUUACACUGUUAUGUAUUUGCUCACAAAUAAAACCAGUUUAAAUUCAAAUAUUGUAUGAAAAGAAGCCGGAAUUUACUAUUUGUGGGUGCUGCAGGACGACAAUGUACUGCGAAAUCUCCUCAGUAUUGGAUAAACCCGUUCUUACAUAACAUAGAUCCUAGAAAUGAAUAAAUUGAAUAUCAAUAUAACCGGCUCCCUUAAUUAUAUUCAAUUUGUCUUCAUUAUUGCAUUUUUCUAGCCGCCUUUUCAUCGACGAAAAUAAGAAUAUAUCUGUUUCAUCGAAAUCACCGAUAGUACCCUUGAUGGUUGUCUUUGACACUUCUAACUGUAUGAAUUGCGAACACACACACAGAAUGCCAGAGCUCGUGAUCAUGAUAAUCUUGGUCCUCGUAGCCUUUGCUUGGAUUGGAGCAAACGUCAACAAUCUUCUGUUGAUGUACUUGGCCGCUCUUCUCAUUGCCAUUUGGACUGGUCUGCAUGGUAAACACGUCAAGAUCAUCAGCCGGAAAACUGUAUGCGGCAAACCGAAGCUGCAGUAGAGAGCCGAUCGCUUCUUAUACACCACAUACAUAAGAUCAUCGACUUGCCAUCAUAUGUGCCGAAAUAAACUAGAGAUUGUUGUUAUACUUUGCUCAUCGACACUAUGCCACUGCUACAUUCGAAGGAUGCGAAUAUAUUCUCCAGGGAGACUGUAGCGAUUCUGCAGCACUUGGAUAUGAAGCGAACCUAGAACGAAUGUUUCCGCUCAACAACAACCACUUAACAAUUACUUAUUACUAAUUACAUACAGGCUUCGAUCCAUUCAAUUUUGAAAUUCAAUAAAACGCAAAAUCGCUAAAAUUCCACGAACUAAAA